rnacentral:rRNA from 1 species
UACUGACCCGCUAGCCCAACCUAAACUAAGAACAACAAGACACAAUAACUAAACCCCUAAACACUAACACCUGCACAAACAAAUCAUUUUCAUCCCUCAGUAUGGGCGACAGAAAAGGAACACGGCGCAAUAGAGAAAGUACCGCAAGGGAAUGCUGAAAAACAAGUGAAAUAAACAAGUGAAGCCUAAAAAAGCAGAGACACCAUCUCGUACCUUUGGCAUCAUG